rnacentral:rRNA from 1 species
UACGAAGGGGGCUAGCGUUGCUCGGAAUGACUGGGCGUAAAGGGCGCGUAGGCGGAUUAUUCAGUCAGGCGUGAAAUUCCUGGGCUCAACCUGGGGACUGCGUUCGAGACGGGUAGUCUUGAGUUCGGAAGAGGGUCGUGGAAUUCCCAGUGUAGAGGUGAAAUUCGUAGAUAUUGGGAAGAACACCGGUGGCGAAGGCGGCGACCUGGUCCGAUACUGACGCUGAGGCGCGAAAGCGUGGGGAGCAAACAGGAUUAGAUACCCUGGUAGUCCACGCUGUAAACGAUGUGUGCUGGAUGUUGGGUGACCUAGUCACUCAGUGUCGUAGCUAACGCGAUAAGCACACCGCCUGGGGAGUACGGCCGCAAGGUUGAAACUCAA